rnacentral:rRNA from 1 species
UACAGAGGGUGCGAGCGUUAAUCGGAAUUACUGGGCGUAAAGGGCUCGUAGGCGGCCAACUAAGUCGGACGUGAAAUCCCCAGGCUCAACCUGGGAACUGCGUCCGAUACUGGGAGGCUUGAAUCCGGGAGAGGGAUGUGGAAUUCCAGGUGUAGCGGUGAAAUGCGUAGAUAUCUGGAGGAACACCGGUGGCGAAGGCGGCAUCCUGGACCGGUAUUGACGCUGAGGCGCGAAAGCCAGGGGAGCAAACGGG